GGUAUUCACUGUAAUGAGGUAUUAAAUUUAUUUUAUACAGGCAGCUGAUUCAAGAUAUGCUAAUGCUGGGUUCACAAUUGCUAGUCUUGCAUUACUAAAUCCACCAUCAACUACUAUUGUAGUGACACCUACUGCUUCAGUAACUCCUACAGAUGAUGGACUAUCUGCUGGACAAAUAGCAGGAAUAACAAUUGGAGUUGUAAUUGGAGCCUUUCUCAUCAUCAUAAUAAUAACCAGUGUGGGCUGUCUUGUAUGCUAUAGAAAAAAGUCCAAUAAGGUUUUAAAGAAAAAUGAUGAUGAUGAUUUUACUGUUGAGAAUCUAUAUUAUGAACAUACUGCUCGUAAUCCUGAAGGUUCAGUCCAAAGUAUCAAAUUAAAAUUUGCUCAAGACUCUGACAGUAAUGAUGAAAGUGAAAGUUACAUGAAUAACAUUAUGAAAGAAGGAGAAAGCAAAGUUGAAAGUUUUGGUCUUAUGCCUACAGAAAAUAUGUUUAAAGAGUCUAAUGAAACUUUUCUCUAAAUUUCUUUUUCUUGUGCUGAAUUUAUAUUUAAUUGUUUGAUUUUU